rnacentral:piRNA from 1 species
UGAGAAGCAGGAUCACAGGGUCCCUCGCCU